AAUAAAAAAAGCAAUUUAAGAAGAGUUAGACAUAAAAAAAGGGACUGAAAAAAGCAAAUACCAAUUUAGCACUAAAAAAACAUGAAUGACAUCAAGAGAAUCAUGACCAAUCAGUCAUUGUCACGGUAAGCAUAGUAGCAUAAUAACAUCAGCUAUUAGUUUGAAAUGAACCAAAUUGGUUAGGAGUAGAGUAACACCACAAUGACAGCAGUAUAACAAUUAGUAAGCAACAUAUCAGUAACACCUUAGCAUUAUGAGGAAAAAUUAGAUUUUGGAGAUUUUUGGAGAUCUUUUGUUCCUAAACAGUUCGUAAAUAGUAAAAUGUAAUCUCUCUCAUUAGUUAAGCAUGUUAUAAUUUGAUUUGCUUCAAGCCGUAGUAAUGCUGAUAUGAAUUAGUAAUGAAUGAUCAUGGAAUAUAGGCAGGGUUAAUUUUUGGUGGAACUGCGGUCCAGACUUUGGUACUGGCCUUAGUUACUAUUCGAAGUGACUGGGACAAAGAGGCUAAGAGAGCAAGAUUGCAUGUGGCAAAAUGGGAAGGUGCUGUGAAGAACUGAACAAAAAGUAGUGUCUUUUUCACAUGCAAUGCAAAAGCAUAUGCGAGCACUGAUCAUAAGAAUAAUAAAUGGACAAAUAGAACUCAUUAAUGAAAAUAACUAGUGUGCAUGCGUGUUUUUCU